rnacentral:rRNA from 1 species
UACGUAGGGUGCAAGCGUUAAUCGGAAUUACUGGGCGUAAAGCGUGCGCAGGCGGUUAUGUAAGACAGUUGUGAAAUCCCCGGGCUCAACCUGGGAACUGCAUCUGUGACUGCAUAGCUAGAGUACGGUAGAGGGGGAUGGAAUUCCGCGUGUAGCAGUGAAAUGCGUAGAUAUGCGGAGGAACACCGAUGGCGAAGGCAAUCCCCUGGACCUGUACUGACGCUGAGGCACGAAGGUCAGGGGAGCAAACGGG